UUGUCUGUUGCUGUUGUUGUAUUUGUUGAAGGGGAUAUUUUCUUCCGUUAUCCACUUUAUACUUUAGUGUUUUGAGAUCAUUAAAUUAAGCAAUUAAUGGAUCGUGUUACAAAAAUCUAUGUAUUUAUUGUUGCAAGUAAAGCCGGGAGCAAAAGUUAUUUUACAUAUUUUCCGCCUCACUGUGAUUGAAACUGAAUAAUUAUUAUUUUCUUGUUUUUUAUACAGCUGGCUGUGACCUGUUCUCUCCGUCGUCAUCGAAGAUUUAGUAUAAAACGAGGCGUUUAUGGAACACAGACAUCAGUUCAACCUGAAAAUUGUUACAAUGAAAUUCUUCGCCUUCUUCACGUUGUUCGUGUGCGCCAUCUUGGCUCUGGCCAGCGGUGAGCGGGUGUACUACAGACAGGUGCGCAGCCCAGUGCCUGUCCAGGACGCAGCGCCAGCACCAGGCCACCACCACCACCAUCACCACUACGGAUACGGCUACGGAUACCACUGAUAUGGAAGUGAUUGGCUAUUGAUUGAUUAAAAGUUUUGUUAAGUUUACGAUUGGGUUAUUGUUUAGUAUGAGGUAUAAUAAUAAAAUAUUUUGUAGUUAA